AUGGAGGAGGGCGCUGCCGGAGUAGGAGGAGGGGUUGGGGGCGGCGGCGUCGCCGGCGCCGGCGCCGGCGAUCGAUCGAGCUUCGUGAUCGGCCUCAUCGAGAACCGAGCCAAGGAGGUUGGUGUUGCGGCAUUUGAUUUGAGAUCAGCCUCACUGCACCUAUCUCAGUAUAUCGAGACGAGCUGUUCAUACCAUAAUACGAAGACACUACUGCAUUUCUAUGAUCCGAAUACUGUAAUUGUGCCCCCAAAUAAAACCGCGGCAGAUGGUAUGGUUGGGGUUUCAGAGCUGGUUGAUAAAAAUUACCAAGCAAGCAAAAAGGUCACAAUGGCACGUGGUUGCUUUGAUGAUACCAAGGGGGCGGUUAUGGUAAAAAAUCUGUCGGCUAGAGACCCAUCUGCACUUGGUUUGGAUACUUACUGCAAGCAGUACUAUCUUUGUCUUGCUGCGGCCUCUGCAACAAUUAAGUGGAUAGAAUCAGAAAAAGGUGUAAUUAUUACUAACCAUUCACUAUCAGUUACAUUCAACGGCUCAUUUGACCAUAUGAACAUCGAUUCAACUAGUGUUCAAACAUUAGAAAUAAUUGACCCUCUCCAUACUGAACUGUGGGGUACUAGCAACAAAAAGAAAAGUCUCUUUCAGAUGUUGAAGACUACAAAGACUACGGGAGGGUCUAGACUACUGAGAGCCAACUUAUUACAGCCACUAAAAGAUAUUCAAACUAUCAAUGCUCGGCUUGACUGCUUGGAUGAGCUAGUGAGCAACGAGGAACUAUUCUUUGGCUUGACACAAGGUCUCCGUAAAUUUCCAAAAGAAUCAGAUAAGGUUCUCUGUCACUUUUGCUUCAAACCCAAAAAGGUCACAGAUGAGGUACUGAAGCCUGCCAAUGGUCGGAAGAGCCAAUUGUUGAUAUCUGACAUUAUUGUUCUAAAAACUGCUCUGGAUGCAAUACCAUUCCUCUCCAAGGUUCUGAAGGGGGCGAACAGUUUUCUUCUUCAGAACAUUUAUCAGACCAUAUGUGAAAACCCAAAGUAUGGGAGCAUGAGAAAGAGAAUCGGAGAAGUGAUUGAUGAAGAUGUUAUUCAUUCAAGGGCUCCUUUUGUAGCCUGCACUCAGCAAUGUUUCGCUAUUAAGCCAGGGAUUGAUGGCCUACUUGAUGUUGCUCGUCGAUCCUUCUGCGAUACAAGCGAAGCCAUACAUAACCUUGCCACCAAGUACAGAGAGGAGUUUACUCUGCCAAAUUUGAAGAUACCGUAUAACAAUAGACUGGGGUUUUACUUUAUUAUACCCCAGAGGGAUAUUACUGAAAAGCUUCCUAAUAAAUUUAUCCAGGUUGUUAGGCAUGGGAAGAAUGUCCAUUGCUCAAGCUUUGAGCUAGCUUCGCUAAAUGUUAGGAACAAGUCGGCUGCUGCUGAGUGCUUCUUGCGCACUGAACUCUGUUUAGAAGGACUUAUUAGUGAGAUCAGAGAAGACAUUCGUAUCUUAACAAUGCUCGCAGAAGUAUUAUGUCUUUUGGACAUGAUUGUAAAUUCUUUUGCCUAUACAAUAUCUACAAAGCCUGUUGAUCGGUACACUAGACCGGAGUUCACAGGUGAUGGUCCAAUGGCAAUCAAUGCUGGACGGCAUCCUAUUCUGGAGUGCUUACAUACUGAUUUUGUUCCAAAUAAUAUCUUCCUUUCCGAAGCAUCGAAUAUGGUUCUUGUCAUGGGGCCAAACAUGAGUGGAAAAAGUACAUAUCUUCAACAGAUUUGUCUAAUAGUUAUUCUUGCGCAAGUCGGCUGUUAUGUCCCAGCUCAAUUUGCAUCACUGAGAGUGGUUGAUCGUAUAUUUACACGCAUAGGCACUGGAGAUAAUGUUGAAAACAACUCGAGCACGUUUAUGACAGAAAUGAAAGAGACAGCUUUCAUCAUGCAAAAUGUUUCUUCAAGGAGCUUGGUUGUAGUGGAUGAGCUUGGAAGAGCUACUUCUUCCUCUGAUGGGUUGGCAAUUGCAUGGAGCUGCUGCGAGCACCUGCUAUCCCUCAAAGGGUACACUGUGUUUGCGACACACAUGGAGGGCUUGUCAGAGCUCGCAACAAUGUAUCCAAACGUGAAGAUCCUCCAUUUCGAGGUUGACUUGAGGAAUGGUCGCUUGGAUUUCAAGUUCCGGCUGAAGGAUGGUGUCCGACGGGUACCGCACUAUGGGCUUCUGCUAGCCAGAGUGGCCGGCCUCCCUGCUUCAGUGAUCGACACCGCGACCAGUAUCACUUCACGUAUCACAGAGCAGGAAAUGGUUAGGAUGGAUGCGAACUGUGUGCAGUACCAGCCACUGAGGAUGGCGUACCAGGCCGUGCAACGGCUCAUCUGCUUGAAGUACUCGAACCAAGGGGACGACUACAUCCGUGAAGCAUUGCAGGACCUCAAGGAGAGUUACGCCGCAGGCAAUUUGAUAUGA
rnacentral:rRNA from 1 species